UAUUGAUGAGGGACACCAUUAUAGGAUGACCAGAUGUAUUGAGAUGGGACACCAUUAUAAUGGACUGACCAGAUGUAUUUGAUGAGGGACACCAUUAUAAGGACUGACCAGAUGUAUUGAUGAGGGACACCAUUAUAAGGGCAGGACUGACCAGUGUAUUGAUGGCCCAGGGAUUUAGACUAACUGUUUGGGUUUGACCUUGGUGUCUCAGGACCCUGGGUGCACUGACCCGACGGAGACUGACCAGACGGAGACCGACCUGUCGUCAUCCAGCUCCCCUCAGACAGGGACAGGAAGUCCUAAACGGCGCUUUCAGGAAAAGACUGAGGAUGAGCGGGCCUCUCAGCCUGCCAGCAGCUCACCUGAGGCCCCGGUGAGAGAGAAGUCUCCUCCUCUACCUCCAGCUCAGAGAGAGGAAYAGUCGGGACAAGGAGCUGAAAGGUUUCGACAUAGAUCUCCUGCUCUAAAUCUCUUAACAAUGUUU
rnacentral:lncRNA from 1 species